rnacentral:rRNA from 1 species
GGAAUUUUGGACAAUGGACGCAAGUCUGAUCCAGCCAUUCCGCGUGCAGGAUGAAGGCCCUCGGGUUGUAAACUGCUUUUGUACGGAACGAAAAGGUCUCUAUUAAUACUAGGGGCUCAUGACGGUACCGUAAGAAUAAGCACCGGCUAACUACGUGCCAGCAGCCGCGGUAAUACGUAGGGUGCAAGCGUUAAUCGGAAUUACUGGGCGUAAAGCGUGCGCAGGCGGUUAUAUAAGACAGAUGUGAAAUCCCCGGGCUCAACCUGGGAACUGCAUUUGUGACUGUAUAGCUAGAGUGCGGCAGAGGGGGAUGGAAUUCCGCGUGUAGCAGUGAAAUGCGUAGAUAUGCGGAGGAACACCGAUGGCGAAGGCAAUCCCCUGGGCCUGCACUGACGCUCAUGCACGAAAGCGUGGGGAGCAAACAGGAUUAGAUACCCUGGUAGUCCACGCCCUAAACGAUGUCAACUGGUUGUUGGGUCUUCACUGACUCAGUAACGAAGCUAACGCGUGAAGUUGACCGCCUGGGGAGUACGGCCGCAAGGUUGAAACUCAAAUGAAUUGACGG